rnacentral:rRNA from 1 species
CAAGGAAUUUUCCGCAAUGGGCGAAAGCCUGACGGAGCAACGCCGCGUGCAGGAAGACGGCCUUCGGGUUGUAAACUGCUUUUGCCGGGGACGAAAAGGACGGUACCCGGCGAAUAAGCCCCGGCUAACUCCGUGCCAGCAGCCGCGGUAAGACGGAGGGGGCAAGCGUUGUCCGGACUUACUGGGCGUAAAGCGCACGUAGGCGGCGUGAUGCGUCGGCACUGAAAGCGCUCGGCUUAACCGAGCGAGGUGUGUCGAUACGAUCACGCUCGAGGCACUGAGAGGUUGGUAGAAUUCCAGGUGUAGUGGUGAAAUGCGUAGAGAUCUGGAGGAAUACCGGUGGCGAAAGCGACCAACUGGCAGUGACCUGACGCUGAGGUGCGAAAGCGUGGGGAGCGAACC